CCUACGGGGGGCAGCAGUGGGGAAUAUUGGGCAAUGGGCGCAAGUCUGACCCAGCAACGCCGCGUGAAGGAAGAAGGCUUUCUGGUUGUAAACUUCUUUUGUCAGGGACGAAGCACGUGACGGUUCCUGACGAAUAAGCCACGGCUAACUACGUGCCUGCAGCCGCGGUAAUACGUAGGUGGCAAGCGUUCUCCGGAUUUACUGGGUGUAAAGGGCGUGUAGGCGGGGAAGCAAGUCAGAUGUGAAAACCACGGGCUCAACCUGUGGCCUGCAUUUGAAACUGUUGUUCUUGAGUGCUGGUGAGGCAAUCGGAAUGCAGGGUGUAGCGGUGAAAUGCGUAGAUAUACGGAGGAACACCAGUGGCGAAGGCAGAUUGCUGAACAGUAACUGACGCUGAGGCGCGAAAGCGUGGGGAGCAAACAGGAUUAGAUACCCUUGUAGUC
rnacentral:rRNA from 1 species